rnacentral:rRNA from 1 species
GAUGAACGCUGGCGGCGUGCUUAACACAUGCAAGUCGAACGGUGAACGAGGGAGCUUGCUCCCUCCGGAUCAGUGGCGAACGGGUGAGUAACACGUGAGCAAUCUGCCCUGGACUCUGGGAUAAGCGUUGGAAACGACGUCUAAUACCGGAUACGAGGCGUGGGGGCAUCCCCAACGCCUGGAAAGAACUUCGGUCCAGGAUGAGCUCGCGGCCUAUCGGCUAGUUGGUGAGGUAACGGCUCACCAAGGCGACGACGGGUAGCCGGCCUGAGAGGGUGACCGGGCACACUGGGACUGAGACACGGGCCAGACUCCUACGGGAGGCAGCAGUGGGGAAUAUUGCACAAUGGGCGCAAGCCUGAUGCAGCAACGCCGCGUGAGGGACGACGGCCUUCGGGUUGUAAACCUCUUUUAGCAGGGAAGAAGCGAAAGUGACGGUACCUGCAGAAAAAGCACCGGCUAACUACGUGCCAGCCGCCGCGGAAAAAC